AUGGAGAGUUUGAUCCUGGCUCAGGAUGAACGCUGGCGGCAGGCUUAAUACAUGCAAGUCGGACGGUAACGCGCGGGUAGCAAUACUUGUGGCGACGAGUGGCGGAUGGGUGCGUAACGCGUAUGCAACCUGCCCCUUAUUGGAGGAUAACGUUGUGAAAACGGCGAUAAUAUUCCAUGUGCACGCUGGGGGGCAUCCUCCGGUGUGUAAAGAUUCAUUGAUAAGGGAUGGGCAUGCGUAUCAUUAGGUAGUUGGCGGGGUAACGGCCCACCAAGCCGACGAUGAUUAGGGGUCCUGAGAGGGCAACCCCCCACACUGGAACUGAGACACGGUCCAGACUCCUACGGGAGGCAGCAGUAGGGAAUAUUGGGCAAUGGAGGCAACUCUGACCCAGCCAUGCCGCGUGAAGGAAGACGGCCCUAUGGGUUGUAAACUUCUUUUGUUGCAGAGUAAAGGCGGGGACGAGUCCCCGUGUGAGAGUAUGCGACGAAUAAGCAUCGGCUAACUCCGUGCCAGCAGCCGCGGUAAUACGGAGGAUGCAAGCGUUAUCCGGAUUUAUUGGGUUUAAAGGGUGCGCAGGCGGACCCGUAAGUCAUGGGUGAAAACUCGCUGCUUAACAGCGAGCGUGCCUAUGAUACUGCGGGACUAGUGUGCAAGCGGCGUGACCGGAAUGUGGCGUGUAGCGGUGAAAUGCUUAGAUAUGCCACAGAACGCCGAUCGUGAAGACAGGUCACGAGCUUGCUACAGACGCUCAUGCACGAAAGCGUGGGUAUCAAACAGGAUUAGAUACCCUGGUAGUCCACGCUGUAAACGAUGAUCACUCGUUGUUGGGGGGCGACCUUCAGCGGCCAAGGGAAACCGAUAAGUGAUCCACCUGGGGAGUACGAUCGCAAGGUUGAAACUCAAAGGAAUUGACGGGGGCCCGCACAAGCGGAGGAGCAUGUGGUUUAAUUCGAUGAUACGCGAGGAGACUGUGUCGCCUUCGGGGGUUUUGCGAGGUGCUGCAUGGUUGUCGUCAGCUCGUGCCGUGAGGUGUUAGGUUAAGUCCUGCAACGAGCGCAACCCUUACACGUAGUUGCCAGCACGCAAUGGUGGGGACUCUACGGGAACUGCCCGCGCAAGCGGUGAGGAAGGUGGGGAUGACGUCAAAUCAGCACGGCCCUUAUGUCCGGGGCUACACACGUGCUACAAUGGCGCACACAGAGGGCGGCGACCCCGCGAGGGGGAGCAAAUCCAUGAAAGUGCGUCUCAGUUCGGAUUGGGGUCUGUAACCCGACCCUAUGAAGUUGGAUUCGCUAGUAAUCGCGCAUCAGCCAUGGCGCGGUGAAUACGUUCCCGGGCCUUGUACACACCGCCCGUCAAGCCAUGGAAGCCUGUGGUACCUGAAGUCCGUGCCCGGAAGGAGCGGCCUAGGGUAAAACCGGUAACUGGGGCUAAGUCGUAACAAGGUAGCCGUACCGGAAGGUGUGGCUGGAAUACCUCCUU
rnacentral:rRNA from 1 species